CAGGCUGUUUGGGAGGUGUGCACCGAUUCAAGGACUUUUUGUUGGAUAAACUGGUAUAUAUUCUGGGUCGACACUAGGCCUGGCCAUGAACAACUCCAUUAUUGUGUUGGGAUGGAACAUAACGGUAACCAUGGUAACGGAGACUUUCCUGCUUUCCAAGCAAUCAACGGCGCUUUGAGUUUAAACAACCCAGAGGAGGCCACAAACCGAGAGGAGGACGAGCUGCUGUGUCAGUUUAUAGCUCUCCGACUGAUACACAUAGCAGCACAGAUAGAUAGGAACCUAGAGAGAAGAGCGAGAAGGGAGCGGGCAGAUACCAGGGGUAAUGUGCUGGGGAGCCUGGUCUCGGCACUGGGGUGGGUUCUGGAGGUGAUCUUCAGAUACUAGUGGUCUCUACUGCUGGAGGUAGUCUUCAGAUACUAGUGGUCUCUACUGCUGGAGGUAACAUUUCACUAAUCCUUGUUUUCAUGUGUGUCAGGUGUGUGCGGGUUGUAACUCAGAAUCAGAUGAACUUUGGUUGCUAACAUUUGUUUAGAUAACCCAAGGGGCUGAAAAACGUUAACAAACUUAGUAACUUUCACAAUGAUUCCUAAAAAGAAGACAUUAUUUGAACUUUCGUUUGAUUUUUAUAAUAACAUAAUUCUAAUGACAAACAAACUCCAUUUCUUUGUUACUAUGGUUACAAACUCCAUUUCUCUUCAUUCACGACAACAUUUUAAUUCAAUCAAUCAAUCAUAAGAUCUUAGCGGUUAAUAUACUUAAAGUAUUAAAAAUGCACUUCGCAGAAUUAUUAUUUUACCGUAAACUGGACAUAUUCUCAUGAUCGUUUAUUUGAUGUACUAUUUACAAAUUACAUAUACCACGAUUGGCUACAUUAUUUUUGGUCAGCCUUUUUUCUUUUAAUAAUCACGACCGUGACUCGGUAACUAAUUUUUGGUUAUUACAAUUUACAAUUUUACAGUUCCUUAAUUUUCUUAGGAACUCAGUAUUUAAUUUAAGAGAUGCAUUUCGAGCAGGAAAAUUAAUCUAUUUUACAAUGAUUCCGUAUCGGAACGAUCAAAACUAAAUUAUUUCGUUAAUACUUUGGUAAUGAAUUCAGAAAAUUUUAUGAAUGUAUGAAAAUUUUUAAGGGUGUGGGUUGUGAUAAAUUAAAUUUGUUUAACAUUGAAUUAAAUUGAAAAAUGCUAGUGAUUGAUUAUUUUUCAGUUUUUCAUCGUACUGGUACACAUGUUGUAUGGUACUAAUGACGUGAUAUUUGUAGAACAGGA